AUUGAACGCUGGCGGCAUGCCUUACACAUGCAAGUCGAGCGCGAAAGGGGGCAACCCCGAGUAGAGCGGCGGACGGGUGAGUAACGCAUCGGAACGUGCCCAGUAGUGGGGGACAACCUCGAGAAAUCGAGGCUAAUACCGCAUACGACCCACGGGUGAAAGCGGGGGACCGCAAGGCCUCGCGCUAUUGGAGCGGCCGAUGUCCGAUUAGCUAGUUGGCGGGGUAAGAGCCCACCAAGGCGACGAUCGGUAGCUGGUCUGAGAGGACGACCAGCCACACUGGGACUNAGACACGGGCCCAGACUCCUACGGGAGGGCAGCAGUGGGGAAUUUUGGACAAUGGGGGCAACCCUGAUCCAGCCAUGCCGCGUGCGGGAAGAA
rnacentral:rRNA from 1 species